AAAUUUGGGAGUCAUCAUUGGGCCCUGAUUGGGCUGGAAUUUGUCGGGCUGCGGUAAUAAUCGCUACGAACAGAAAGAAAAACAAAACUGAUGAAUAUUAUUGUAAUAACGGGAAUCUAGGAAACUUCUUUUGAGUUUCACUGCAUUUACCACCUCAAUUCCUCAAAUACCCUUAACUCGGAGUGUAAGAAUUAAAAAAAAAUGCUAGACAUAAUGCAAAAGCAGAAUAUCUAGUAGACGAUGGUGAUUGCCAUGUUGAGCUUCUGCAUGAGUGAUUCUCCCGAUAGGUAGUAAUUAUAUUCGAUACUCAAACUCUUUUUCUUUCAAUAGCUCAUUAUAUUUUAUUAAAAUAUAUUUUUG